rnacentral:rRNA from 1 species
GGGGAAUAUUGCGCAAUGGGGGAAACCCUGACGCAGCGACGCCGUGUGAGGGAAGAAGGCUUUCGGGUCGUAAACUUCUUUUAAGGGGGAAGAGCAGAAGACGGUACCCCUUGAAUAAGCCACGGCUAACUACGUGCCAGCAGCCGCGGUAAUACGUAGGUGGCAAGCGUUGUCCGGAUUUACUGGGUGUAAAGGGCGUGCAGCCGGGAAGGCAAGUCAGAUGUGAAAUCUGGAGGCUCAACCUCCAAACUGCAUUUGAAACUGCUUUUCUUGAGUGUCGGAGAGGUAAUCGGAAUUCCUUGUGUAGCGGUGAAAUGCGUAGAUAUAAGGAAGAACACCAGUGGCGAAGGCGGAUUACUGGACGAUAACUGACGGUGAGGCGCGAAAGCGUGGGGAGCAAACA